UGGCUCAGAUUGAACGCUGGCGGCAUGCCUAACACAUGCAAGUCGAACGGCAGCACAGAGGAGCUUGCUCCUUGGGUGGCGAGUGGCGGACGGGUGAGUAAUGCAUCGGGACCUACCCAGACGUGGGGGAUAACGUAGGGAAACUUACGCUAAUACCGCAUACGUCCUACGGGAGAAAGCAGGGGACCUUCGGGCCUUGCGCGGUUGGACGGACCGAUGUGCGAUUAGCUAGUUGGUAGGGUAAUGGCCUACCAAGGCGACGAUCGCUAGCUGGUCUGAGAGGAUGAUCAGCCACACUGGGACUGAGACACGGCCCAGACUCCUACGGGAGGCAGCAGUGGGGAAUAUUGGACAAUGGGCGCAAGCCUGAUCCAGCAAUGCCGCGUGUGUGAAGAAGGCCUUCGGGUUGUAAAGCACUUUUAUCAGGAACGAAAUACCACGGGUUAAUACCCUAUGGGGCUGACGGUACCUAGGAAUAAGCACCGGCUAAUUCGUC
rnacentral:rRNA from 1 species